rnacentral:rRNA from 1 species
AUGGCCGCGCCGCCGCCCGCCGACAAGAGGCCGCUGGUGAUGCUGGCGCAGCCGCUCUUCCCGGAGUUCGCCGCGGCGCUCGCCGGCCGCUACCGGUUCGCGCUGCUAGCGGACGCCGACGCGGCGGCCGCGGCCGAGGCGAGGGCGCUGCUCGUAGGGGGGCUCCCGCGAUUCACGUCCCAGCACCUGGGCGCGCUCCCGGCGCUCCAGCUCGGGGGGCUCCCACCGGUCACGGCCCAGCACCUAGGCGCGCUCCCGGCGCUCGAGCUCGUGGCGUGCACCUCCGUGGGCGUCGACCACGUGGACCUUGACGCGUGCCGGAGCCGCGGGCUCAGCGUGACCAAUGCCGGCGCUGCGUUCGCGGCCGACUCGGCCGACUACGCCGUCGGGCUUCUCGUCGCCGUGCUCCGAAGGGUGGCCGCCGCCGACGCGUACGUCCGCAGCGGCAGGUGGACGGCCGACGGCGACUACCCUCUCGCUAGCAAGGUGAGCGGCAAGCGGGUGGGGAUCGUGGGGCUGGGCAACAUCGGCUCCCGCGUCGCGCGGCGUCUCGCCGCCUUCGGCUGCGCCGUCUCCUACCACUCGAGGUCGCCCAAGCCGUCGGCUCCGUACCCGUUCGUCCCCGCGCUGCGCGACCUCGCCGCCGGCAGCGACGUGCUGGUGCUCUCCUGCGCUCUCACGGACGAGACCAAGCACAUGGUGAACCGGGACGUGAUGGAGGCGCUGGGGAAGGGCGGGGUGCUGGUCAACGUCGGCCGGGGCGGCCUGGUGGACGAGCCGGAGCUGGUCAGGUGCCUCACUGAGGGCGUCAUCGGCGGCGCCGGCCUUGACGUGUACGAGAACGAGCCGGCCGUGCCGCCGGAGCUGCUCGCCAUGGACAACGUGGUGCUGUCGGACCACAGGGCCGUGCUCACGACGGAGUCCAUCGGCGGCGUGCUUCAGGUCGUCAUCGCCAACCUCGACGCAUUUUACUCCGGGAGGCCACUGGUCAGCCCCGUGGAACUCUGA